CCUACGGGGGACAGCAGUGAGGAAUAUUGGUCAAUGGGCGCGAGCCUGAACCAGCCAAGUAGCGUGAAGGAUGACUGCCCUACGGGUUGUACACUUCUUUUAUCAAGGAAUAAAGUGAGGCACGUGUGCCUUUUUGUGUGUACUUUAUGAAUAAGGAUCGGCUAACUCCGUGCCAGCAGCCGCGGUAAUACGGAGGAUCCGAGCGUUAUCCGGAUUUAUUGGGUUUAAAGGGAGCGUAGAUGGGUUGUUAAGUCAGUUGUGAAAGUUUGCGGGUCAACCGUAACAUUGCGAUUGAUACUGGCAGCCUUGAGUACAGUAGAGGUAGGCGGAAUGCGCGGUGUAGCGGUGAAAUGCUUAGAUAUCACGAAGAACUCCGAUUGCGAAGGCAGCCUACUAACCUGCCACUGACAUUGAUGCUCGAAAGUGUGGGUAUCAAACAGGAUUAGAUACCCGGGUAGUC
rnacentral:rRNA from 1 species